rnacentral:sRNA from 1 species
UCAACACAAUUUACAGAAAAAUAACAGUUCACCAAUCUUAGACUCCGGCUGUUGACACAACUUAAUUAUUUUUAACACGUACUAUUAAAAUAAGUAUACUUUGCAUUAUUUGAUUGAAAUUUUGAAUUUCUUGAAUGUUCAUGAUAUGAACCUGUCUACUCGAGCAAUGAAAAAACAGUUUGGCAGGCUUAGCAAUCAAGCAUUUGUUAAUGAAUGAUAGAUGAGAAAAAUGACCCAAGCAUAAAUGAAUUCGUUGGGUUCCUUGUAGGCAAUUAUAGACGUCUAAAUGUAAUGGUAAAAACACAAUAAUUUUUAAGCCUUAUUACUUGAAUGGCCAUUGGAAUCAGUUUUGGAGAAAUGAAGUUGCAAUGAAGAUAAGCCAGUGAUACCAGGGUUCCUCAGUUGUUCAAGCUGUUUGUUGCCACGGCGAAGCAAGUACUCAAUGUAAAGAAAGUUUUUCCGAUCUACACUCUUUGCAUUACGCCGAAACUCUUGCGAUACAAUUGAUUCUAUCUUGCGCCGCUCUUCCUCCGAUUUGGAACGUGCUGCACGCAGAAACCCUCUGAAAAGACUAAGCACUUGUUUCUGCAUCCCAGAAAGCCUUUGCACUUUGGAGCUUCCCAUCGCAUCUUGUUUUCUCAAAAAAUAUACAAGUUUUCUGGGCUAGAUUCUGCACAUGAAGAACAACGAUGCUGACAUUAAUAGCUCAUUUAUAGUGAUUCAAUUACGUGGAAGUGAGUGAAAAUUAGGGAUUUCAUUUUGCAAGAAGAAGAAGUAGACGAAGACAAUCACGUGGAGGUGGAGGUGAAAAUUAGGGAUUUCCUUUCACAAGAAGAAGAAGUAGACCGAAGUGAAAGUUUACGCCAGUUAAGGUGGUCAUGAGACCAAUUAUUGGAAGUCAUACACAUUUCACAACACCAUCAUUUAUCCUAUCAAUGGUCAACAUGUGUGAGAGAUUACACCAUAUCCAGAU